CUUGUUUUUGACAAUAUAUAUAACUUGAAAUAUAGAGCAUAAAAAUACAUUAUGCUGUAGUCACUUAUUACACCACUUAUCCGAUUGUAUGAAAAAUAUAUAAUAAUAUCUUAAAGGCAAAUUCAAGAUAUCAAAUGAGCCGCGCCAUGAGAAAACCAACAUAGUGGCUUUGCGAUCAGCAUAGAUCCAGACCAGUCUGCGCGUCCGCGCAGCCUAGUCAGGAUUCAUGCUGUUCGCUCUCAAAGCCUAUAGCAAUAAGAGAAACCGUUAGCGAACAGAAUGGAUCCUGACCAGACUGCACGGAUGCGCGGGCUGGUCUGGAUCCAUGCUGGUCGCAUGGCUACUAUUUUGGUUUUCCCACUGCUCGGCUCAAAUAUUGAUUUAUUUAUUUCAUAAAAUCGACUAAGAGAUAUGAUAUAAUCAAUCGAUUGAUUAAAGUGGUAUAUAACACAAUCAGUACUUUUUUAUAAUUUAAAUAUAUCUUAAAUUUAGUUCGUGAUAUAAAAAUAUUUACAAAAUUUCAUUGAAUAGAUUUUUGAUAUUAUUUAAUGCAUAUUUUGAUAUCAAAAUCAGUUAUCUAAACAUAGAAAGUUUGUUUAAUGCUCAAGUAGCAGCACACUCGAAUGAUUUGAACGAAAAUGGGGACGUCUAGAUUUAGCAUGAAACACGCUCAUUUGUGUUCAGAAGCUAGGUAAUAAGGAUGGGUUGUGGUAAAACCUUAUGAUCAUUUUUUUUUUGUAGUGGAAUUAUUUGUCUUUCUUUCUGAAGUCAAAUGCAAUUUCGAAUUUUAUUUUUGUGGUGAGUCAGUAACAUUGGUCAAGAUUAUUUAGAAACCUGCUGUCUGUAAUGGACAUUAUAUUGGUGUGCUGUCAAUAAAUAACAUGCAUGAAGAGUUACACUAAUUUGUCCAGUAAUACGGCCCAGUAAUACAUAAUAGUUGUAGCAUGAACACGUGUAAAAUUGCCAAGCUAGAGAGUCUGGGCAUUAUUUGAUAAUGCGGAUACUUUUCACUGUCCGAAGGUUCAAAGGUCAUCUUUUGUACAACGGUAUUCAUAUUUUUGGAACAAAACAACGCUUUACAGAAAACAUUUGCAAGGAUAUUAGCAUCAAUUCUUAAAAGGACGUAUGCACCAUUUUUAAGAAAGGAAACGUAAAAUAUAUCGAGGUUACUGGUGGUGAAUAUGAGCUGAAAAGAAAGAAAAAGACCAGUAGUAAUAAAGAAAUCACAGCUGAGGUUGCUGUGAUUGAAUGGACAAAGAAAAGGGCGUUUAUUUGAAUUCUUGCUGAUAAUGGUAAAUGGAGUUUUCAAAAAGGCCAGUUGGAUGCGGUUUCAAUAUAAAUUUUGCAUUGUGAAAGCUUAACAAGAAAAAUGAACUUGAAAUUGACUUAAGUUAUAUGAUACCUAAUUUUUGUGAGAAAAUCAACAGAGACACAAAUUUAUUGGCGGAGACGGAAAGGGACUAUACCAUCAAACGUUUAACAGCUAACUUUACUCUAAGUAAAACACUGUUUGUUUUAAAUUAUGGACCAUCAUGAACAUAUGUUAUGAUCCGUAAUUGUGGCAUGUAUGCAAUUUUGCGUUUUGUUCAUAUCUGAUUCAUUUGAUUGAUAUUAUUGUGUUGUUUUAGAUGCUGUAUUGUAAACUUCUAUAUAACAGAAACUGAAUACAAAAUCUCUUGCACAAUUUAUAUAGUAAUUUGCCUUAUUAAUUAUAAAUGUCUACAUCUGAAAGGAACGAAAGUAAAUCUUUAAAACUAAAUGUAUUCAAAAUACCAUUUCCAUAAUACAGUUUAAAGCACGAGCCGUUGUCUUACUAAUUAAAUUAACUAUUUCCUGUUGCAAUAUAUUUUACUUGUUUUCAGCAUACUUCUGGUUGGUGCAGAUUUAACGGCUCGCUUUUGUUUCGAAAGUAAAUGGCUAUUUAUUAUACCUGGCACUUGACCUUUUCAUUCGUCAUUUCUACAAUGAACCUGGUCUGUUUAGCGAUAGCCAGUCGUAGAUUUCGUAGAGGUGGAGCGAGCUUUUGUUACGCCAAUAGUCCGUCUCUAAAUUUUAUUCAAUUAUCAGGUGACCCGCCUCCUAUUAUCAAAAUUGUUAACUGUAUGCAACAGGCCUUGCAAUUAGAUUGUUAAAUACUCUAGUGAUUAAACGGUACUUUUAUAUUGUUGAUUACAUGUAUAUUAUUAUUUUUGGAGGGACAUAUGUAUUUUAUAUCGAUGUGUAAUUUUUACAUUUUUGCAUGUUUUCUUACAAAAAUGUUAUAUUCUUACUUAAUGAACAUAUGUUAAUGUAUUUCGUCCUUUUAGAUAUUUGAGAAUUAUUUUGCGUUUAGUAAUUUUACAUAUGUUGAAUUAACAUGAAUGUUUUGGCGCGCUGCACUUAUUAGUUAAAGCUUUUUUAGUAUUCGUAGUACCCCAUAGUUUUUGUCUUACAUUAAAUCUCCGACAUUCCUACUGAAAAGAUCAAACCCAAUUACAUAAAUAUUAUAACACUAUUCCGUACGCGUAAAGCACUGUGUUUUUACACUUUUGACAUGGACGCGCUUAAAUAGCAUAGUGCUCCUGCAUUAACCUAUCAUAAAACAAUACUAGGUUGUCUGGCAGCUAAAACCAACUCACUUAAAAAUAAAUAUCAUUUUUUUCGUGUGUCCAUCGAACUAUUAAAAAACGGUUUAAAUCAUAUCAUUUACGGGUUUAAAUCAUAUCAUUUACGAAGGCCAAAUGUGACGUAAUUUACUGAACUAGUGGUACAUGUAAACAGGUUAUUAUUAGAAAAUUAUCAGAAAUUAUUUAUAAUGCAUUCAUACUGAGAACACUGUUAUUGUAAAUAGUGUUAAACUUUUAGAUCUACGCAUCUAAAUAACAGUUCUGUGUGUCCCCCGUUAUAUGACUGAAAUACUGUUGAAAAGCGGCGUUUAAACCCGAACGAACAAACAAACUACCGUGUAUAGUUGUAAAAUGUACAAGACUCGUCUUGAUAACAAUUUAUGUUUCAUGAAAAAUAAUUAUUGUAUUCAAACAUGCUUAAUUUUUACGUUGUUUGUAUUAAAUCAAAUAACAACAUCUUAAUGUAUAUGUUUCAAUGGUAUGACAAAAAAAAACUAGUGUUUACGUCGACAAAAUAUUAAAUAUAUUUCUGUCGGUCUGCUUUUAAUGAAAAGCAAUUGGCAAUAAGUAAACUUUUGGUAAAAGAUACAGAGCAUCAAAUAUUGGCAAAAAUUAUCACGAAACAGGAAAACAGAGGUUUCCAGCCAGUGUGUUUAUAUAAGUCAAACCUGUCUAUAAAAAAACACCCUUAGUGUUCUUAGAGCCAGGUGGUCUCUAUUCAAAGCCGGUCUUUAACAAAGGCUUGACCGUACACACCACAUGUACACAUUGCAAAGAUUUAUACUAGUUAUAUCUUGAACACACAAACAUUUAAAUAAGUUUAAAUUGUUUAAAUAAAAGUACACAUUUUUAUUUAAUAUAUCCAGCGUUAAAGCUGCAUUGUCCGUCGAAAAUGUAAACUCUAUUCAGUUUAUUGAAUUACUUUCCUGGCAAAUAAUAGGCUUUAAUGUCUUCUAUUCUUGAAACCGUCUGCUUAUGAGGUUCAUUCUUUAUUUCAGUUUUUGUGAUCUGACUAGCUUUUCCCGGCAAAUUAAUUUCUUUGGUAGUUUGGAAACUAUGAUUUACAAAGUUUUGCUUUAAAAACUAAUUACACAAACCUAAUGAUAAAUAAUGUUUGUGAAUUUAUUAUUCGGUAGUUGAUCCGAAUGUGAAGCGUGCAUGUUUCAUAUUAAAAACCUGCAUUAGCGCCUCGUUCGGGAUUUUAUAUGACAGUUGCGAGUUAAUAUGAAGUGCCCCGUUGUUACUACCAACUUGAUAUAUUUACUAUUUGUUUCUUUUGAUACCUUACACUGACACAGAAGACAGUGUUUCGUGUGCUUGGUUUUGUAUUUGCUGAGUUUUAGAGUUGUAAUCCUUAGUCAAUGCAUCAGUUUGGGAAAGACCGAAACCGUUAAUUAUUUAAUGGAUUUGUGAUACUAUUAAGAAGUAAAUAGUCAUACACUUUACUACUUUACUAGACCAAGUUUGUUUAAAUUCUUGGAUUUAAUACUAUUUGAAAAUAAGAUGGAACUUGAUAGAUUAGCAUUAUACUGUAAAAUGCACUGUGUAAGAUAAACUCUAUUCUGAAUUCUAUUACUUAAUAGUUUUAUACUGUUCAACCUCAACUGUUUACUGUUAUUGAGUUACCUAUUGAAAUGCAUAGUCAUUGAUUAUGUGAUAGCUGGCACUUGUAAAUAUGCUAUGUAUGCAUUGCCGGUGAUGUACAUUGUACAAGCAGCAAUAAGCUAUAUCCUUAGGAUGGCCAGUACAUAUUUAUGCAAUCUCGCCAGGCAUAUGUGUGUUUUUGACAACAUAGAAAAUGACAUCACACGACCUUCAGCUAUUUCCGGAAGUAAAUAAAAUGAAAGUAGAAAUGCUAAACUUGAAAACGAAAGCCACAUUUCGAUUCCUAGAUAGUCAGGGGUCAUGCGCAGGGGUCACUCCGUCUAAAUGUAUGCGCGUGGAUUUCUCUUUGAGAUUUAUUGUUGUUUUUUUUUUGGCUAUUGGGAAGCCAAUUUUCAGCACUUUAUUACGAAUUGACAUUACCUUGGCUUUAGUGCAGCAUGUCAGCUUUUAAUCUAUGAAAAAAUAUUUGAGCUCUGGAUAAACAGAAAUCCCACAGGGGUCCGUGCAUUGAUAAUUAUGGAACUUCAUCAAAUCGCUCAAAAUGUCAUUUUUGAUGUUGUCUGAGAGUGUCAGUAUAUGCCUCAGAUGUAAGAUAUAACCGUAUUUGAGAGCUGCAGACCUAAACAUUCAAAAAUAUUUUCAAAAAAGUUUCGUGUAAUAAAUGUUGUUUCUACGGAAGCGUGAAGGGGCCAUCACACGCUAAUACGUUUUAGUACGUUAAGGCUGCGGAAAGGAUAUUUCUGUUUUGUGUAUUUAUCGUAUAUUCUAAAUCAUUAUUUUACAACACAUGCGCGAUUAUGCAAGGCCGCCAUGCCGGCUUCUAUAUUCAAGCUGUUAGGCCGCCAAAUUCAGCAAAAUGCCUUUUCUGUUUCUGUUCUUUUGUUUAUGCAUGGUACAUUCAGGAUCACGUCCAUAGAAUUUUUCAUAGAAUUAGGUUCCUUAAUUUCGUUUAGAUAAUCAGACAGCGGCGCCCCUUUGCAGCGCCUUCUUGACUGUCACGUGACUUUUCUAGGGAGCCUUGAGAUUUUCUGACCUUUUAGCCCAAUUUAUGUUUUACGAGUUAGCGCUUGGAAUUUGAUCGUAGAAAAUUCCUCCUUAUCCUCCCUUAAUUGGCAUUAUCCGUUAGGUUUAAUUUUUCGUUAUAGCUUUUCUUUUGUGGGCCUACGCCAUGAGGCUGUGAUUCUGGUGUUCUGGAUGUUCUGGGUUUACGAGAAAUCUACCCUUACCUGUUAUCUUUUGUACAUCUUUUCUGUGAAUUAAACGAUACUUUGUAUUGUUCAUCACAUGUAUAUUAUAUUCUAUUAUCGGAGGGUCACGUGUAUUUUAUAAUGUUGUGUAAAUUGAAGUAAUUUUGUUCAUAUACUUUCCCCAUGCUUUGUUAUGAAUUAUUACUUAAAUAAUUACCAUAUGUGCAGUGUUUCAUGGGUUUGGUUAUGCUAUAAUUAUUUGGUUAAUAAUUAUAUAGUUAAUGAAUUCACAUUAUAUGUAUAUUGGUGCGCUACGCAUAUUAGUUAUAUUAGUAAUACUAGUUUGAGCUGUAGUUAGUUUAAGGCAAUAAUAAAGCUCACAGUAACAC